GUUUUAUUUGUGUAAUUACGUUCAGAAAAUCAGGUUUGGUGAAAGUGGUUAAGAAAAAUUCGUCUUUAAGUGUUGCUCACAACUCAAAGCGAGCUCCUUAAAAUUUGUUCGGGGAUCAGAUUUUUUGGGUGCCUCUUAAUAUAAUCAAAGUAGCGUAAUUAUUCUCAGUUCUGAUGGGUCUUUGGGCUAAAAUCUUCCAGAAAUUGUAACGUUUCCGUUUACAUUUGAAUUGAAAUUCCCGCUAAAUAUGAAAAUAUAAACUCAAGGUAACCAACAAUAAGAAUUUGGACAAAGGUAACUAGUAAGGGUCAAGGGGUUAUCGAAUGUGGAGAGGAUAGAGGUGAUUGAGCGUGAGAAAUAUGGUUGAAUGAAUCCGAGAAUAUUGUUGUAAUCCUGUAAGAAAUUCAAAAUUAAUUAAAUUGAUUGAAACAUUUACUACAAACAUAAACUAAAUCCAUGCCAGACAUAUGUGAUAUUUGAAAUUAUAUGAAAUUCCUUUUAAUUAUCAAAUAAACCCAAUAACAUUUGGGUUUAUUUAUUACUUAUUUAUUAGAUAGUUAAAAUACCAAUUUGGAUCAUCGUAUAAUCUACCCUUAAUUUACCAAGUUUGACCAAUACCUAUUUACCUCUGGAGCCGGAAUCCACAUCAGAAUCUCAUCCAACGCCGUCGUUUGGUAACCACCACCGAGUCCUAAAACAAUAAAAAAAUAGAAAUCAAUUUGGAGUAAGGUCAGAAAAACUGUUUAUAAAUUAAACUCACCUCAUUAAUCAUCCAACACAAAACAUAUUGUGAAGUAAUCACGACAUACAUAAUCUGUAAGAGAUCUCCGGUAAAACCCCACAACACCCACUCAAACAUUCACCUCUCUUUCAUUUCUAGUAGUCCUUAAAAAAAAGAAAAUUUUAUAUUAAAAAAAAUAAUAUUGACGAACCAGUUAUUAUUUUAGCGAACAUUAAAGAAUCAAGUAUUUGUGUCAAUGGUUUAUUUCAUAUAGUUCUAGGACUGGGUUUUAUUAAUCGUACCCUAAUUUGUCCAACGCAACUCUGGCGCCCUAAUAAUCCUUAUGCUCUCCGGUUUUGAGCCGAGCGAAGGGGUAUCGGUCCAACAUUGUAUGAACCAUUGCCAUACAGUUUUCUUACCAGGUAGGUAGUUUGUUUCUUGAUUGAUUUAUUUUGUUGUCCAUUUAACGAUUGACCGUAUUUACGUUACCUCUUCAUGAACCUAUCGAAUUGGUAUUUUUGCCAAUACGAAAAGGUUUAUGUCUCUGUCGAGCUAAGACAAGUCUGUUCUCUAUGAACUUUGAAGGCAAGAUUAAAGUACAGCGUUUGCUAUAUUUUGUAGUAGUUUGUCCACUGUAACUAUUGAUAUAAUCAAAGUA